UACAGAGGGUGCGAACGUUGUUCGGAUUUACUGGGCGUAAAGCGCGUGUAGGCGGUCUCGCAAGUCGGAUGUGAAAGCCCAGGGCUCAACCCUGGAAGUGCACUCGAUACUGCGAGGCUAGAGUCCCGGAGAGGAUGGUGGAACUCUCGGUGUAGAGGUGAAAUUCGUAGAUAUCGAGAAGAACACCGGUGGCGAAGGCGGGUCUCUGGGCCAUUACUGACGCUGAGGAGCGAAAGCGUGGGGAGCGAACAGG
rnacentral:rRNA from 1 species